rnacentral:rRNA from 1 species
CUACGGGUGGCUGCAGUGAGGAAUAUUGGUCAAUGGGCGCAAGCCUGAACCAGCCAUGCCGCGUGAAGGAUGACAGCGCUACGCGUUGUAAACUUCUUUUGUACAGGAAGAAACGCUUCUACGUGUAGAAGUUUGACGGUACUGUACGAAUAAGCAUCGGCUAACUCCGUGCCAGCAGCCGCGGUAAUACGGAGGAUGCAAGCGUUAUCCGGAUUUAUUGGGUUUAAAGGGUACGUAGGCGGAAAAUUAAGUCAGUAGUGAAGUCCCGCAGCUUAACUGUGGAACUGUUAUUGAUACUGGUCUUCUUGAAUGUAGUUGGAGUAGGCGGAAUGUGUAAUGUAGCGGUGAAAUGCUUAGAUAUUACACAGAACACCGAUUGCGAAGGCAGCUUACUAAGCUAUGAUUGACGCUGAGGUACGAAAGCGUGGGGAGCGAACAGGAUUAGAUACCCGCGUAGUC